UACAGAGGUCUCAAGCGUUGUUCGGAAUUAUUGGGCGUAAAGGGCGCGUAGGCGGCCAGCACAAGUCAGUUGUGAAAUCUCCGGGCUUAACUCGGAAAGGUCAACUGAUACUGUGCGGCUAGAGUGCAGAAGGGGCAACUGGAAUUCUCGGUGUAGCGGUGAAAUGCGUAGAUAUCGAGAGGAACACCUGCGGCGAAGGCGGGUUGCUGGGCUGACACUGACGCUGAUGCGCGAAAGCCAGGGGAGCGAACGGG
rnacentral:rRNA from 1 species